rnacentral:ncRNA from 1 species
UUAAAAGCAUUGAAGAGAGAAGUACCUAAGGAUUGAUGAUUUAAAGAGAGCUCCGUUUUGCUGAAAAGGAGUAAUGAUCAACUUAGCGAAAUAAAGUCUCUGAGCUUCUUGCCAAGCUAAUCUUUUGGAUUAGGGAUAGCAAGACGGAAUCCACCGUUAUAAGGAUAGGGUAUGACUGUACCCAAUAAGAUUGGCUGCAGCAAUGCACCAAUAAACUAAGGUGGUACCACGAAAUGAUAACUUUCGUCCUUAAG